rnacentral:rRNA from 2 species
UUAAAUUGAAGAGUUUGAUCAUGGCUCAGAUUGAACGCUGGCGGCAGGCCUAACACAUGCAAGUCGAACGGUAACAGGAAGAAGCUUGCUUCUUUGCUGACGAGUGGCGGACGGGUG